CAGGGUCUCACACUGUUGUUCAGGCUGGAGUGCAGUGGUGCGAUCAUGGCUCACUGCAGCUGUGACUUCCCGGGCUCAAGUGAUCCUCCCACCUCAGCAUCCCAAGUAGCUGGGACUACAGGUGAAUGCCACCGUGCCCAGCUAAUUAAAGAAUUUUUUUUCUGAAAGUCUUGCUUUGUCACCCAGGCUGGAGUGCAGUGGCAUGAACACAGCUCACUGCAGCAUCAAUCUUCUGGGCUCAAGGGAUCCUCCUGCCUCUGCUUCCUAAGUAGCUGGGACUACAGACAUAGGCCACCAUGCCAAUUUUUUUUUUUUUUUUUGAGAUGGAGUCUCGCUCUGUUGCCCAGGCUGGAGUGCAGUGGCGCCAUCUUGGCUCACUGCAAGCUCCACCUCCUGGGUUCACGCCAUUCUCUUCCCUCAGCCUCCCGAGUAGCUGGGACUACAGGCGCCUGCCACCACACCUGACUAAUUUUUUGUAUUUUUAAUAGAGACGGGGUUUCACCAUGUUAGCCAGGAUGGUCUCAAUCUCCUGACCUUGUGAUCCACCUGCCUCAGCCUCUCAAAGUGCUGGGAUUACAGGCAUGAGUCACCGCGCCUGGCCCACCAUGCCU
rnacentral:lncRNA from 10 species